rnacentral:rRNA from 1 species
CCUACGGGAGGCAGCAGUGAGGAAUAUUGGUCAAUGGUCGGGAGACUGAACCAGCCAAGCCGCGGGAGGGAGGAAGGUACAGAGUAUCGUAAACCUCUUUUGUCAGGGAACAAAGGCGGGGACGUGUCCCCGGAUGAGUGUACCUGAAGAAAAAGCAUCGGCUAACUCCGUGCCAGCAGCCGCGGUAAUACGGAGGAUGCGAGCGUUAUCCGGAUUUAUUGGGUUUAAAGGGUGCGCAGGCGGUCUGUUAAGUCAGCGGUCAAAGCCCGGGGCUCAACCCCGGCCCGCCGUUGAAACUGGCAGUCGCGAGUUGGAGAGAAGUAUGCGGAAUGCGCGGUGUAGCGGUGAAAUGCAUAGAUAUCGCGCAGAACUCCGAUUGCGAAGGCAGCAUGCCGGCUCCACACUGACGCUGAGGCACGAAAGCGUGGGUAUCGAACAGGAUUAGAUACCCUUGUAGUC